UUAAUCACUGGGUGGGUGAGAUGGCUAAAGACUUGAGUUCCAUUCCUAGGGCCCACAUCUUAGAAGGAGAAUACCAACAUGUACAUAUUAAUCUUUAAUUUCCAUGGGACAGGUGUGCCACACAGGCACAAACACAUAGUAAAUAAACGUUAAGGAAAAAAUAGGAACUUUACCGUGUGUCUUAGUUACUUUUCUGUUGCUGGAGUAAACACCAUGAGAGCAAAAGCAACUUGUGGAGGAAAGGGCUUAUUUCAGCUUACAACUCUCAGUCACAUUCCAUCAUUGAGGGAAGGCAGAGCAGAAACUGCAACAAAGGCUGUAGACUACUGCUUGCUGGGUUGCUCAGCCUGCUGUCUUACAGCAUUCAGGACCAACAGUUCUAGGGUGGCACCUCCCACUGUUUGCUGGGCCCUCCCACAUCAAGCACCCAUCAAGAAAAUGCCCUACAGUUUGCCCAUAGGUCAGCCUGGUGGGGACAUUUUCUCAAUUGAAGCUUUCUUCCAAAUGACUCUAGUGUGUCUGGAUGACAUAAAACAAACCUUCACUUCUGACCCUGAUGCUGCCACCUAUUAACAUGAUGGAAACCUUUCUUUAAUUGGACAUGAGGAUCCCUGGUUCACAAGAGAUGAAGUGGGCAGUCACACCGUUUUAAAAACUGUUUCUACACUGAGCACAGCAAGUUGCUGUGGAGAGGGACCCCUGAGAGGUAGCUUUUGUAACAUAGUUUGGUAUGUUUGCAUGGAAGUUUAAUAUUCUUUCUUCUUUCCUGCUGUUGACCUGUAAGCACGUGUAAUUAGCUGUUUGGUCUGUCCCAGAGCAUCUUGGUAACAAUUUUCUUACCUACAGUCCACCCUCACAAUAACCAUUUUGUGUGGAAGCUCUAUCACUGACAUCUGCAUUGGCAUUCUGUCUCUGACCAGUGGGUGAUUCUGAAAGUCUCAGAUUUUACUUUCAGAUUCAUCCCCGGCUAAGCCAGCCUCUGCUUUUCCCCUAACAUUGAAGAAUGCUUUCUAGACAAAAGGCCAAUUUUAGUUGGCUUUAAUUCUCCCUCUGCGGCAUUCCUUUAGUUCUGUGUGUUUGAAAUUCAAGGCCCGUUCUGGUUUCAAGUACACUUUUUAAAGUCUGAAACAGAAAUGUAUUAUUGGCCUGAUGAUGACUUACGGAGGCCAGUAAUGGGUCUAUGUAGGAGCCACAGUGCUGCUUUUGUUAGUGGUUUAAGUGCCUUUGACUGCUCUGUCCCCUCCACCUCCUUCUCCUCCCUCAGGUUUCUUGAAUCGCGUUAAGUAAUUUGAUAUUCCUCUCGUCCUGCAUAAUGCAAGCUAACAUUGGCAAAUUGUUGUGAGAGUGCUUCAGGGAAAGAAUUCAGCUCAACACACAGCAGUAUAAUCUUGUGGCGAUUGUAGAUGGUUCUUAAAGUAGAGUGAUCAAGAAGCUUUGAAUUUCUUUCGUUUUUUUUUUUUUCUUUCAGGUUUAGCAUACUCUACAAUACUGGAUUUUAAAAAUACUCGGAGAGAACAGAUCGUCCGUGAUGCCUCUAACCCAACUAUUUUUAGUUACGAUUUUUAAGUCUUUCUUUUUUCUAGUUUUAAACAGUGGCCUUUGCCUUCUUGCUUUAUACUGUUUUAUGGGUUUGCAGUCUUCUGUUAGUUUUUCGAGUAGCAUAAUAUAACUGUAUGGAACUGUUUGUCACUGUCCCAAACCAUUUCUGUGUAAUCUUCUCUCUGGAGAUUGCCUAAAUUUUGGCUAAUAACCAUCACUGUUCUAAUUCACUUCUGAGUCAUUAGCCUUUUUUUUUCCAACUGAGCAAUUUCCUUGGCAUGCAUUCCCAGAAGGAAGAUGCUAAGAUAGGAAUUGUGGAGUGCCAACUCUAUGCUGCUAUCUGAUGCUGGCAGUUGCUUGGUCAGCAGUGUAUGGCACAGCUGUCCGUAAGAACCAUCGCUAUAGAAUGCUCCGCUCUCUAGUUGCUUUAGCCAUCUCUGCGCUGGUGGCUCCUGAGUUUAUCUAGACAGGCCUCACUCGAUGUCCUUUUUAACAGACUCCACGUGAAGUACUACCAAGAAGGAAAGGUGGCAAUCAUAGCUGACUGUCCCGUGAAGGAAGGUGGAGGUACCGCUCUGACUCACUGCCUCAUAAGAGUUAGGUCGAGGAAGCUCUUCACUGUAUGUUCUCAACCAUAGUUGAGACCCUAACUCCCGAGGUGGAUGGCCUGGGCUUGAUGCCCAGCUCCCCAUUUACCUACUGUUUUGAGUUGAGUAAGCUGCUUAGCAUUCUUCUUCAGAGAAAUUGUCAUCAUAUUCUGAUUUUCCUUAGGCUUAAACUACUGGUGCUCUGGAUAUUCUGACCGUUUGAUUCUUUCCUUGUGCUCUGGCUCUUUAUUUUCUGAGGCCAGGUGGAACGCCCGUCUUCUCAGUCACCUUUGCCCUGCCCUGCCCAGCCAAGCAGGACGUGUAGAGCCUUCUGAGUAGUAUAGUGUUGUUAGCACUUUGCUGUCUUCAUGGCUUGGAUGUGCACUAGCACUGCCUUGUCCUGCGUUUCAGGCAGGGAAGCAUUUUACUUCCCAUCUUGUGUUCAUGUUCCAGGGACGGGUGAUAAACAUGUUAGUUAGCUUGAGUCGGUGCUUAGAUUUCUGACAUGAAGUGAGACAAGAUAAAGUAUGAUAUAAUGAAUCUCUGAGUAACUACAGGAGGACAGUUAUUUUUGUAAAGUAGUUUGUACGAUUGUUGUGCAAACUAAACAGAUUGGCAUGUUGAGAGGCAGUGCUUGGGCCAGGUCUUUAGAGAUGGUGACAGGAGCCAUACUGCCUCUCAGCUACUUGGCUACACCAGUACCAUUUGUAGACUGAUGAGUGAAGGCUGCGCCAAUGUCUGUCUGGCCUGAGUGCCGGGGAUCACAGGAUCGUGGCUAGACCCUAGUGACGUGUUCCUCCCAGGUGAACUGUAAAAGAGGUGAAAGAGUGUCUGUGCUUUAUCCCUCCCCUGCUCUCUCUGUGUGACAUGCUGCCUGCUUACCAUUUCUGAUCUGAAUCUGUAAUGUUUCCAACUCUGAUGUUUCAAGUCCCCUGUCUGGAGGUAGGCCGUUCAUACACUUUCUUUGUUGGCCUUCAUACCAUGCCACGUUCCCAUCAUGGUUAAGAAUUCUUUCCGCUUUCCAGUUAUGCUGUUCCUUCUCAUCAGUUCUCACAGGGUCUCUCAUAACUGCCGCUGCCUUCAACACAGAGCAGCAGAGUGAGAAAAGCUCGCGUGGAUCACAUUUAUCAGGACGUGACCUUAAGACAAGCCACUCAACACCUUUACACCUCAGAUUCCUCCUCUGUGCAAUAAUUAAGAGUGCCUGCCUCCUUAGUGUUUCUCUGUGCCAAGCUCAUAGGAAGCCCUCAAAAUCAGUCAUUGUAGUGAACCUCAAGGAGCUUACUAAAGAAGGUCAGCAGAACUAGCUAGGCUGUGUGCCUUGAUCUUAUUUUUUAAUAAUUCUUUGCCCUCAUGGGUCAGUGUGCCUCACUUUAUAGGGAUGUGUAAGUUGUGCAUGAGUUAAGGAAGGCCAUUUCACUUAGCACGCCUGAGCUAGCAGAGGCUCAGAUCAGCUCCCUCAGAAGGACAGCUGUUGGCUUUCCCACCUCCUGACCCACCUUCUUGUGGUCCCUUUCUUGUAUUUAUUUUUUCUUUGCUGUCUGACAUGGACUUGUAUCUGUUUCUUUUCUUUUCUUUUCUCUUCUUUUCUUUUCUUUGUUUCUUGCUCAUAGUGGUGUUUCUUCCUCAGUAGUUGUUCAACACCAGUGGUGGCUUCUUGUGCAUCACUUGUCCCACCCCUUCUUUCUAACUCCUGCAGUGGGACCUGAUAGGCCAGCUUGUCCCGCUUCUGCAGCCAGAUAGACAUCUCUAGGUUGCUGGAUCAGCCUGUCUCCCCUGGUGAUUUUAGCAGUGCAGCUAGAGGAAAAAGUAUAGCCCCUGGCUACCCUGGAUCUCAUCUUCAGCUUCAGAGUAAUUGGAAUCAAGCACUAUACACAAGUAAAUGAUUUAGGAGCUAUUCCUAUUCACACAUCUAUCACUGGGGAUAGGAGUCUUGUCCUUUGAUUCCAUGUUACGGAAAAGCAGAAAUAUUCGCAAGACAAGUGGGUAAGGGAAACUUGUUGUUUGUGGAGCUAGUUCUCCCUUGAUACGAAGCAGAUCUUUGUUUGGAAUGUAGCAGUCUCUGGUGCGGUGAGUCAGGCCUUCCACUGGUUUGCAUUUUUCAUUAGUGUAUCAUUUAAGGAAAUCCUGUGGUCAGGGCCUUGGAACAAGCCUGUGUUUAUUCUUCUGCU
rnacentral:lncRNA from 1 species